GCCGUCGGGGUGUAGUGGUCAGCACGCUUGGCGCGUAUUCGAGAGGUCCGUGGUUAGAGUCCCGGCAAGGGCA
rnacentral:tRNA from 1 species